rnacentral:lncRNA from 1 species
GCGGGGUGUAUGUGGUGCGGCACUGCGCGUGCGCGCGAGGCCUCUUGCGUCAUUUAGCCGCGCCUAGGUUUGCCGGCGCCGGCCCUAGGUCCCGGCAGCGGUGGUGACGGCGGUGCCGGAGGUUGUCCUUGGCAGGUUUUCCUCGGCGCUUUUCCAUGGAGGAGGCGGUGCGAACGGCUUCAGCCCCGAAUGCUCGCAUCUCCCACUGGACGGCGACGAAGGCGGUGGCCGUGCGAGCGCAGGACUGGGCGGCCUGUGUGGGGGUGUGAGCCGCGGUGCCCCAGGCUGCGCCGGCGAGGGGAAGCCGCGCGGCCGGCCGGCCGACUAGGGUUUGAAGACUGCUUCAUUCUGCCUCUAGUACCAGCGGUUUCUCUGUUCUGUGAUCAAUGUGAUUCACAGGAACUCCUUAAGUAACAAACGAAAUGAGCCAGGGGCGUGGAAAAUAUGACUUCUAUAUUGGUCUGGGAUUGGCUAUGAGCUCCAGCAUUUUCAUUGGAGGAAGUUUCAUUUUGAAAAAAAAAGGCCUCCUUCGACUUGCCAGGAAAGGCUCUAUGAGAGCAGGUCAAGGUGGCCAUGCAUAUCUUAAGGAAUGGUUGUGGUGGGCUGGACUGCUGUCAAG